UUCCAGUAUCCUUUACUUUGCAUAGUCAUUUACACUUGCUGAAAGUGAGUGCAAAGUGGAUGCAAAAUGCUACCUCAUCAACUGGUAAUGUUUUGCACAGGUGUAAAUGACUAUACAAGCUGCAAUGCUGUGCUAAAAUCAGGCUUCUUAUCUUGGUUGAUUGGAGGUAAAGCCAUUAUACUUUUAAAAAGACCUCUUGCAGACUACUCCUCUUUCUUUAAGUUCAAGAGUUUCUUAUGUUACUCUAGUGCUUGCAGUAAGUUAGUAGUAAAGCUAAAGGUCAAGAGGAAGAAUGAAAAGAAGGUACCUGGGAGUCUCACUCAAGCCUCAUGGUCUACUUGUGCUAUUCUGACCAUUAGGAGCAUCACAGACUCCCACUGCAGUGAAGAGUUGCAUAGAGGAAAAGCCAUGAUGGGCCACAGAAGAUUUGAUAGGAUGGUGUCCAAGAGUCCACUGGAGUCUUCGGGUGCCACUGCUAGGGUUCUUCUGAAUCAAAUGUUCAGUGCUGUUACAUUCAACUUGCAAAGAAGUCUUGAAGACACAGAAGUCUUGAUUUUGCAGCAACCUCUACUCAGAAGUCUGUCCUGA
rnacentral:lncRNA from 1 species